GUGAAUGGCAAAAAGUAACAGAGUAGUCUGAAAUGAUUAGAAGAUCCAUGGGAAUGGAAGCUUUCAGAAGGAGGAAGGGUCAGGUCUGUCUUGGAGAACUCAUCCCCAUAGAAGCAAGAGGGAGGCUGUUCCAGUAACUCCUGUGGGAGGUCUAUCUGGGAAGCCAUCAUUGCCAGCACCGCACUACUCCUGUUCCCAGACAGGAUUUCAGCCCAUUACAAGGACUAGCUCAGCUCCUGGCUCUGGUGCUUUGGUCUGCUAGAAAACUCAGACAUCAAUAAGGCAGUUAAGUUUGUAUAUUGAAUCAUGCAAAGUAUGGAUUAUGCAAAACAGCCCACCUCUAAUUUCGAGUGAAAGGAGAGACAGGUCAACACUUUACAGGACUUUACAGGACAGAACUCUAAGCACUGCAAGAGAUCCUGACACCAGUGAAUGAGUCCAUGCAGCAGAUCAUAAACACAUCACCAAGUCAUGAUAUUGGAACAUCACUUCCUGCCGAUACCUAAAUAUUAAUCAGACUGGUGGGGGCAAGACCUCCAGCAAAGUAAUGAUAAAAGGAGGAAGGUCACCUCCUCUGUUAGCACAUCUGGAUCAGGAAGAAGAUGAUUUACUAUCCUCACUCUAAACUCCUAUUGAAAUGAACAAUCCUUUUCCUCACAAAGGGCUAGUGGCUCUGCUGCAUAUUUAACUGAAAUGGUAGUAUGGUCAGUCACAUAGCUGAAGAUCUAAGAACUAUAAUAUGAUUGAACUAAUUGCUUCCAGAGGGCAAAGAAACAGAAAGAAGCUAUAAAAAGGUAUGCAGUAUUUGAAAAUCAGUAAAUCAGUUUUUUUUCCUUCAAAUAAUACUGCUUGUAGAGCUUUAAAUGCCAGAUGGAACGUAAAUUGUUAACUAUUAUUUCUUGUAAGUGUUCAUGUUUUCUGUCCUCUGUUAAAUCUUAAUCUCCAUAUGUUGGUUCAUGCUAACAGCUUCCACAGUAAAAUGCAGUACAUACAAGUGGG
rnacentral:lncRNA from 1 species